GACUCAAUGGACAUGAGUUUGAGCAAACUCUGGGAGAUGGUGAAGGACAGGGAAGCCCGGCGUGCUGGCAGUCCAUGGGGUCACAAAGAGUCAGACGCGACUGAGUGACUGAAAAACACCAAGACAUUUUUGAACCUCACUAACACAGUGUCUCAUGUCUCCACGACAGUCUCCAGGAAUUGGCUGUUUGGCCUCCUUGGAUGCCUAUAAUACUCUGCAAUGCUUUCAGUGCCCACGAUUAGGAUGAAAAUAAUAAUGAAGAACAGAAACUCACUGGCGGAGAGAAACACACCUCUUAAACAGUUGCUUCAGCUCCUCUUCUUUCCUUUCCCUUGAAAGUGCUUUUCAAGUUUUCAUCGAAGAACAUCUUUGUGAUCAGAUUAACCAAAUGUUGACCCCAAUAAGGAAGCUAAGACUGAGAGAAGAUCAGUAGAGACCUUUCAAGCCUCUAAUAUGUGAGUUCAAGUUUUUAAUUCAUUUUUGGGGGAAAUGACUAAUCCCCACCACCAUCAUCAUAACCCUCACCACCACCAUCAUCAUCACCGCCUCCACUUCCAUCAUCACAGUCACCAUUGCCAGCAUCACUAGUACCACUGUCUGUCACACUUGUGUUACCCGUAUGAUGUUUCUCUUACACCAUCAUGGAGAUCAUAACACUGGUGAGGAAAUGACCAGCUCGAAGCAGAUACUAACUUUCCCUGCCCCCUCACCCCCACCCCAAUGAGCUGGCACGUGGUGGGGGCAGUGCAUGGCAGAGCUGGGCUGCUCCUAAGAGUCUUCUGGCCAGGAUAUUGAUGAAAAAAAAACCAAAAUAUGGCACCGUGGAUCCCGAUGAGUGUCACCUUCUGAUGCUGAAAUUCAAUCUCAAAAUGAACCAAAGGGACCAUCUACUGAUGACCCACGUUUCCUUUAAAGAAUGCACACAUCUCUCUCAUUUCUUUUUCCCCGCUAGGAACUCUACUCACCUGUAGUUAAUCUAAGAAUUAACAUUUAGCAGAAUACUGCCUCAGUGCCUUAAUGAGUCCUUCUUUAAUUUGGAAGUGAUCCAAUCAAGAAAACAAAACACUCCACCCCGCAUCAGGGUCAGCAAUUUAGGAGGUGAUGGGAGCUGAGUUCUGGGAUGCUGCUGACUUGGACAGAGGAGCCCCUGCAGCCCCUGAGAGCCACACCUGGCCCCUCGGACACUGAACUCAUGGCCGCCUAGCACUCAGAUGACGGGGGAGCUGUGCCUCCUUGGCAGGCAGGACCCUGCCAACAGGUAAAGCUGCUUUCAGCCAACGAUAUUCCCUGUGCCAGGGACUGUGCACAGACUGGGAGAUGAAUUGGGGGACAGACUGUGAUGGUCUCUGACCUUCUGGAGGCUCAGCUGAGCUGGGGAGAUGGAUGCUUCAUGAGGGACUAAGCUAACAGAGGAAAUGAUGCUCUGAAGGAAGUGGAAAUGGGUGACUAUCAGGGCUGGACUGUUUUGGAUUUGAAGGCAAUGCAAGCACUUUCUGAGGAGAGUACCUUUAAACCAAAUUAACAAUUGUGGUGCUGGAGAAGACUCUUGAGAGUCACUUGGACUGCAGGGAGAUCCAACCAGUUAAUCCUUAAAGAAGUCAAACCUGAACAUUUGUUGGAAGGGCCGAUGCUGAAGCUCCAAUACUUUGGCCACCUGAUGCGAAGAGCCGACUCGUUGGAAAAGAUCCUGAUACAGGGAAAGAUUGAGGGCAGGUGGAGAAGGGGACGACAGAGGAUGAGGAAGUUGGAUGGCAUCACUGACUCAAUGGAUAUGAGUUUAAGAACACUCUGGGAGAUGGAGAAGGACAGGAAAGCCUGGCGUGCUGCAGCUCAUGGGAUUGCAGAGUCAGAUGUGUUCAGCUGAUCGUGAACAAUAAGAGCAACAAUGAGGAGACGGGGCCAGCAGGUGGAGGAAGGCAGAGGCAACUCAGCCUCUCCACAGAGUGACCUGCAGAGCAGUGAGCCGUCAGGAUGAGGUCUGAGAGGCCGGCAGGCAUCGGAUCACAUCUGGCCCCAUACAUGCUUUAUGUCCCUCCAUGUGCUUCACUGAAGAAAUCAACACUUGAAAAUUUUGGGGAUUCUUUAUUGAGGUUCCACAUAUGGAAGCUGCAAAGAGCAGAAACACGUGACUCCACGGAUUAUCCUGGUGGGAAUGCAUCCCAGUAACCACCCCCAGACAUUCAGUGAAUGGGAUGCUUCUCACUGCAAUGUUGAGGGUGAUCCUUUUAACUCCAUCCACCCAUUCGAAGGCCAGUCUCCUCCAGAAACGCCCUCAACAGACACACCAGAAAUAGUUUCAACAGCUCUCUGGGCCUCCCUUAGCCCCAUCAAGUUAACCCAUCAUGCCAACCAUCACAAAUAACUGUGUGUGAAGGGUGAAAGCCCCAUGUCUCUGAAGCCAGUGGGUGUUCACAAGAGGAUUAUGGGAACAGGGACAGAAGUGCCUGGAUGUACUGUUCAGAGCUGGCAGGACCCGACCUCUAAAAGGAAGACUUAAAAUGAUGUUUUUGACAUCAACACUUUCCCCAAAGCUGAUGUUCCCUGGGAGGAGGAAAGAGAAGAAGCCGACCUCCUUCAGAGCAUCUCUAGCUCUUUAAGGACUCAGCAGAGCCUGAAGCUGGGCCAUGGAAAUGCCAUGAUCACUAGUUCCAUCCAGUAACAGUCCUGAAAACUCUUAGUUGCUCAGUUGUGUCCGACUCUUUGCGACCCAACGGACUGCAGCCUGCCAGGCUCUUCUGUCCAUGGGAUUUCCCAGGCAAGAAUACUGGAGUGGGUUGCCAUUUCCUUCUCCUGAGGAUCUUCCCCACCCAGGGAUCGAACCUGGGUCUCCUGUGUCGCAGCCACCUGCCACCGCAGCCGCCUGCUGGCCUCCUGGGAACCACAGGGUGGAAGUCGCUGCUGCAAGUGACCUGAGCUGUUUCUCCCCUCGGUUUCCUUCCAUCCCUGCCCUGGCUUGCAGGUCUCACUGCAGCUCUUGGAGCCAUAGCUGUCUCCUCUGUCCUGUGUUGCCUUUCUUGUGGAGCACCCAUCCUCGGCCAGCCGAGCCCUUCACCCCGUGGGAAGCUCUGGCCCCUCUCUGCUGCCUGUGGGCCAAGCCCUGUUUGGACUUGGACAGUGGCCUUCCAACUGUACAAACACCUGCUUGUUAUCACCAAGGGUGGAUGGUCUUCUAGGAUUGGUCCAAGGUCUCAGUCAACUCUUAAAAGGCACAGAAAAGCGAGGAUGGGAGACAUACAACAUGGACUGCGUCUGUGUGACAGAGCGGAGCCUAGCGGAUGGGUGCCUCCAAGAUGCAAGUUCUUAGGAGCGGAGAUGCCCUGACCCCCCUCCACACGCGGCAUCUGGAGCCACGGCUGUUCAGAGGAAAAGGCUGAAUGAAUGAAUGGGAUAUGAUAUGCAUUUGACUUUGACUUGCUGAUAACUGGGAAGCUUCUUCCACUGCUUGCUCUGGUUUGGGAUCUGACAGCACACUGUCAUCCUCACUCAGGUUGUUUUCCUUCCAAACUGGGAAGAUGAGACUCAGCUUCUGAGUAUAGUCUCAGUGAUUAAUUCAAACCAGAAACUGUGAGCUUAGGGCAAGAAAUGUCCUUCUGUGGUUUCCAGCAUCUCCUCGGCCCUGUAGCCUUGGAGCCUUGACAGUCCCCAAUGGGAGGCCUGGCUUCUUACUAGAAAUUGAUUUCACCAUCAUACUUUUUUUUUUCCCUUCUGUAUCCAGACAUUUUUUUUUUCCUGGCCAGCUUUUUAAAACCCUUGGCCUCAAAAUCUUAGUUCCCCACAUCCGGCUCCCCCACCUCAACCCACAAAUAAACUGUCACUUGCUUUGGGCUUUCUUUCCAGUGCAACCAUCCCUGCUUUGUAAAAGAAAUGACAAAUUAAACAAUUUUUAAAAACUGUAUGAUUCCUUUUAUUUAUUAAUUGAAGUAUAGUUGAUUUACAAUGUUGUGUUAAUUAUUGCUAUAUAGCAAAGGGAUUCAAAGGUAUAUAUCUGAAUAUCUAUCUAUCUAUAUAUACACAUGCUUUUUUUUCAAUAUUCUUUUCCAUUAUGGUUUGUCAUAGGAUUUAAAAAAAAUACUGAAUUUGUUACAAUAUUGUUUCUGUUUUAUGUUUUGGUUUUUGACCUUGGGCAUGUGGGAUCUUAGUUCCCUGACCAGGGAUCAAAUCCUCACCCCCUGCUUUGAAAGGCAAAGUCUUAACCACUGGACCCCCAGAGAAGUCCUUAGUGCAGGAUAUUGGAUACAGUUCUCUUUGCUGUACGGUGGGAUCUUGAUGUUUAACAGUUUUUUUUUUAAAUUGUAAUAAAAAAGUACAACAUACAAUUUAUCAUCUUUACCAUUUUUAAUUGUACAGUUCAGUAGCAUUGAGCAUACUCACAUUGUUGUGAAAAAGAGCUUUAGAACUUGCAAAUCGGAAAGUCUAUCUCCGUGAAAGGACAACUCCA